rnacentral:sRNA from 1 species
UUAACAGAUGCCGAAGAAGCAUUUGACAAAAUGUAAUAGCUCUUCCCAAUUUAAACUCUAAGUAAACUAGGAAAAGAAGGGAACUUCCUUAAAGGCAUCUGUGAAAACCCCACAGCUAGAAUUAUACUUAAUGAUGGAAGUCUGAAAUUCUUUCUUCUAAGUUCAAGAACAAGCAGGGAAGGCAGAGCAAGAUGGCUGAAUAGAACCCUCCAGCAUUUGUCCCCCAAGCAAGAACACCAACUUGAACAACUAUCCACACAAGAAAGCACUUUCAGAAGAACUAAAACUCAGGACUUCAUUGACUUAACUAGAGAGACCAGACCAAGGACAAAAGAUCGCAGUGGACUGUAUGUGAUUGACCUGACAAGAGCUGAGGGAGAAAAUAGACCUAUUGCCACUCUUGACUUAACUUUAGAACCUGUCACUCCUUCCCAGAAGGAACCAACCAGUCUUCAGACAUGUGCCAGCCUCUCUGGCAAAGCGGUGAUGGAAGGGCAGGUGGACAGAAGCUCUCAGCCUACAGCACGGAGACUCAUUAACAGUGACCCUGUAGAUUUGGACCUAGUGGAAGAAAACACCUUUGUAGGUCCCCCACCCGCUACAUCCAUCAGCGGAGGCUCUGUUUAUCCAACAGAGCCUAAUUGUAGCUCAGCCACAUUCACAGGGAACCUCAGCUUCUUGGCAAGUCUACAGCUGUCUUCAGAUGUUAGCUCCCUCUCCCCAACAAGCAAUAAUAGUAGCAGCAGUAGCAGCAGCAGCAGCAGCAGCAGCAAUCAAAAAGCACCCUUGCCAUGCCCACAGCAAGAUGUGUCUCGCCCACCACAGGCCUUGCCAUGCCCCCUGCAAGCUUUGCCGUGCC